CCUACGGGUGGCAGCAGUGGGGAAUAUUGCACAAUGGAGGAGACCCUGAUGCAGCGACGCAGCGUGAAUGAUGAAGUCAUUCGUUAUGUAAAGCUCUAUCAGCAGGGGAGAAAAUGACGGUACCUGAGUAAGAAGCCCCGGCUAACUACGUGCCGGCAGCCGCGGUAAUACGUAGGGGGCAAGCGUUAUCCGGAUUUACUGGGUGUAAAGGGAGCGUAGACGGCAGUGCAAGUCUGGAGUGAAAGUCGGGGGCUCAACCCCCGGACUGCACUUGAAACUGUAAGGCUGGAGUGCAGGAGAGGUAAGGGGAAUUCGUGGUGUAGCGGUGAAAUGCGUAGAUAUCAGGAGGAACACCAGUGGCGAAGGCGGCUUACUGGACUGCAACUGACGUUGAGGCUCGAAAGCGUGGGGAGCAAACAGGAUUAGAUACCCGGGUAGUC
rnacentral:rRNA from 1 species